AUUGAACGCUAGCGGCAUGCUUAACACAUGCAAGUCGAACGAGUGGCGGACGGGUGAGUAAUAUAUCGGAACGUGCCCAGUAGCGGGGGAUAACUACUGGAAAGAGUGGCUAAUACCGCAUACUAUUGGAGCGGCCGAUAUGGGAUUAGCUAGUGGGUGGGGUAAAGGCUCACCUAGGCGACGAUCCCUAGCUGGUCUGAGAGGAUGACCAGCCACACUGGGACUGAGACACGGCCCAGACUCCUACGGGAGGCAGCAGUGGGGAAUAUUGCACAAUGGGCGCAAGCCUGAUGCAGCCAUGCCGCGUGUAUGAAGAAGGCCCUAGGGUUGUAAAGUACUUUCAGUCGGGAGGCGUUACCGACAGAAGAAGCACCGGCUAACUCCGUGCCAGCAGCCGCGGUAAUAC
rnacentral:rRNA from 1 species